rnacentral:lncRNA from 1 species
AUGGAUGUUGAGGACGACGAUGUGGAGGCGGCCGAGAGGGAAAAGCGAGGCAUGCCUACAUCAUUCCAAGGAGCCGUGCGUGUGCUUCCGAUUGUUCCGGGAGGAGGGAAGGUUCAUGCUGAUGGAGGUGGGGAUCCCCGGGAAGGAGAAGAAGAAGAGAAGGAGGAGGGGAAGAGGAUAACUAGCAGAGCCCCUCGCGUCGUCCCCAACGUUGAGGUAGAAGUUCUUCCUGAGGAGCUUGAGGCGGUCAGGGAGGGCAGUGAGCAGGACGUGGACUCCAAAAAGGGUAGCAACGCAGCCAGCAAGGCCGCAACCUACUCCCAGCUCGAGCGCCCGCGCGUCUCGGAGAGCAAGGCGUACCGACUUGACGGCACGCUCAAGGAACUUGGCGAGGACGACGGCGCUGUCCUAGACAACGGCACCGGUGACGCCGGGCGUGGCCAUGGAGGACGGGAAACCGUUGCGUGUGAGCGCGCUAGGCCGGCCGCCGCCCGUCCUUGUGACCUAGGUGGGAAGAGAUGAGAGAGACGGG